rnacentral:misc_RNA from 1 species
GAUGUUGGAGUCCAUGAUCAAGUCUCCAAGGCCUACUCGAGCUGAAGCUACUGAUGUUGCCAAUGCAGUUCUUGAUGGUACUGAUUGUGUGAUGCUUAGUGGAGAAACUGCUGCUGGAGCCUAUCCUGAACUUGCUGUUCAAACCAUGGCCAGAAUUUGCAAAGAGGCUGAGGACUUCAUAAAUUAUGGAGAUCUUUUUAAGAGAAUUAUGGAAAAUGCAUCUAUGCCCAUGAGCCCAUUGGAGAGUUUGGCUUCCUCAGCAGUAAAGACAGCAAACAGUGUCAAAGCAGCUUUUAUUUUAGUACUAACUAGACGUGGAAACACAGCAAAGCUGUUGUCUAAGUACCGACCAAGCAUGCCAAUUUUGUCCGUGGUUGUUCCUGAGAUUAAAACUGAUUUCUUUCAGUGGUUAUGCAGUGAUGAAACUCCAGCUAGGCAUAGCCUUAUUUACAGGGGUCUGGUGCCUGUUUUGAGUUCAGGCUCUGCAGGAGCUUCUCAUAGUGAGUCUACAGAAGAAACAAUUGAGCAAGCCUUACAGUAUGCUAAGGAGAAGGGAUUUUGCAACCCAGGAGAUUCAAUUGUUGUACUGCACAAGAUUGAUAUUGCUUCUGUCAUCAAAAUCCAGUUUGUAUGGUGAUGAUACCGUGAACAAUUCGGGUCAAGAGUGUUCUAGAUUUUGCAAGUUUCUCUUUGGUUUAAUUAGUGUUGGAACUAUGUUAAUUAAAUGAUUUCUGACGUGCGUUCUAGUUAUAAAAAAUUUAAAUGAGCAUCUUUAUAAUUUCAUUUUUUUUUUUCUAUCUUCAUGUAGGGUGAGAUCCGUCUUCUCGUUUCAUUAAAACAGGAUUUAUCCCAGAUGGAAACCAAGAUAAGUAAAUUUGCCAUAUUCUUCCUGCAAAGACUCCUACUAAGUAAAGAUAAUAGUAUUUAUGAUUUUUGUUUUCCAUGGUAUAUCACUUGUGCAAGC